rnacentral:lncRNA from 12 species
GACCCCUCAGCAGUAUGUUGGCCACAUGCUACCAUGCCCACAAGCUGCUGUGCCAAAAGGCCUGGAAAGAAACAAGGGUAGCCUAAUUGGCUGUUAUGCUUAUGUAAUGAAUAGAGGCCACAGACCCUGAAGGUCUUAAGGGGCGUGGUAUUUCCACACAGGGCACCCAUUUGUGGUUCAGCCACUGCUGGCCAAAGGCUGACAUAAGUGCAGACCGCGCGGGCUAGUUUGUUACGUAGAGGUACAAGGUGCAUUAAGAAAGAGUGCAGAGAAAUGUCAUCGGUUCCCCACUUAGCGCUUCUCUAUAUAUAAUACUCUAGUGUGAAAUGUCAGCUUUACCUUCUACAGGUUAUCGGUGUGUGGAUAAUUUAUGAAGUCAUCUGGCUUAAAAAGAGAAGUGGAUUCUGGAGGCACCUCUGGUUUUGUUGGAGUGAACAUCAGGAUAAUGGCUUCAGCAAAAAGGAAUGGUGGGGAGCUAUGACCCAGCGUGUUGGAUGCCAGACCCUGACUAAACAUGGAUACUUCCCUUACUAAGCACAGGGUGAACAAGCUCUCUGUGACUUCAUGAACAAUAAAGUCAUCUUUCCUGCCUACCUGGGCAUAGAGCUAGAUGCAAGUGUCCUCUCCGUUGGCAUCCAAGGUUUGACCCGCUACCUCGGUAGGACGGUGCGGGACAAGGGCCGAGCCCCCGCUUCUCCCUCCACUUUUCCGGAGGCAACACGUAGUCAUGUUCUUGCACGCGCGCACACCCGGACACACGCACACAAUUUGUGUAGAAUUAUUUUUCGCUCUGAUGUCUGCCUGUGGAACAGAUUGAAGAUUUUACCAUCCAAAACCCACAAAGAGAAAACUCCUACUGUGGUCUUCAGCAUUUCCAUUCAGUGGCUUCGCCUGCCAAGUCCAGUGACCAGGACCGCCGCUCCUGAUGGUGGGGAGCAUAUGGUACUGCUGUGAAUAGUUUUGCUCUCACUGCUGUGAAAUCCCACGCCCUCCCACAGAAUGUGUUUGGAGGAGCAAAUGGUGAGCGUCGCUAUUCAGCAAGCUCCUUCCCCGCCUAUGGAACCCGGUCCCUUCAACAACAAAAUGAAGAGCUAACUGCACGUCUUCACAGUCUUCGGCUUCAGGGUUACUGGCUACCUGUUACUGUUACCCGUGCUUUCUCACCCCCUGCCCGCCCACCCCCGGGAGGGAGGCUUCUCCUCUACAUCCUGAAUCCACCAGGAUCCACGAUGGUACACCAAGCACCCAUCACUUUUCUUUCCAUCUUCCUCUUCCUCCUUCUCCUCCUUCUAAAAAAGAAAAAAAAAAAUCUUACAGUGGGAUGCAGUCUCUAAGUUAAAUUGGGGCUCCGGAAAGAGCACUGGACUAGGAGUCAGAAAGCCUGGAAUAUCAAACGUGAGCUAGCCUCGAAACCUUGGGCAAAAGUAUUCUGUGCCUCUUCUGCAAAGCGGAUGGUGCGGGCCCCUUAUGCCCCUUUGGGUUCCAGGACUACAUGUAUUUGUCUAAUGCGACUCCACCCGCUCCCAACCUCAUCCUCAGGAAGACCUCUUUCUAAACUUCUCAAAACUGGGAUGCCUUGGUGGCUCACUGGUUGAGCAUCUGCCUUUGGCUCAGGUCGUGAUCCAGAGGUCCGAGAUCGAGUCUCGCAUAGGGAUCCUUGCAGGAAGCCUGUUUCUCAUUAUGCCUAAGUCUCUACCUUUCUCUCUCUCUCUCUCUCUCUCAUGAAUAAAUAAAUAAAAUAUUUUUAAAAAUAAAAAAUA